rnacentral:rRNA from 1 species
UACGGGGGGUGCAAGCGUUAUUCGGAAUUAUUGGGCGUAAAGGGCGCGUAGGCGGUUGAAUAAGUCAGAUGUGAAAGCCCUUGGCUUAACCAAGGAAGUGCAUUUGAUACUAUUUGACUUGAGUAUGGGAGAGGGAAGUGGAAUUCCUGGUGUAGAGGUGAAAUUCGUAGAUAUCAGGAGGAACACCGGUGGCGAAAGCGGCUUCCUGGGCCAAUACUGACGUUGAGGCGCGAAGGCGUGGGGAGCAAACAGG